GGGGAUAUAGCUCAGUUGGUAGAGUGCUUGCCUUGCAAGGGCAAAGCCCUGGGUUCAACCCCCAACAAACACA
rnacentral:tRNA from 1 species